rnacentral:rRNA from 1 species
AUUGAACGCUGGCGGCAGGCUUAACACAUGCAAGUCGAGCGGAGAGAAGUAGCUUGCUACUGAUCUUAGCGGCGGACGGGUGAGUAAUGCUUAGGAAUCUGCCUAUUAGUGGGGGACAACAUUCCGAAAGGGAUGCUAAUACCGCAUACGCCCUACGAGGGAAAGCAGGGGAUCUUCGGACCUUGCGCUAAUAGAUGAGCCUAAGUCGGAUUAGCUAGUUGGUGGGGUAAAGGCCUACCAAGGCGACGAUCUGUAGCGGGUCUGAGAGGAUGAUCCGCCACACUGGGACUGAGACACGGCCCAGACUCCUACGGGAGGCAGCAGUGGGGAAUAUUGGACAAUGGGCGGAAGCCUGAUCCAGCCAUGCCGCGUGUGUGAAGAAGGCCUUUUGGUUGUAAAGCACUUUAAGCGAGGAGGAGGCUCUUAAGGUUAAUACCCUUGAUGAGUGGACGUUACUCGCAGAAUAAGCACCGGCUAACUCUGUGCCAGCCGCCGCCGUAAACC